AGGUUACAGAACAUGAACAUUAAAUCCUAUAGGCAUGCUUUCUAUGUGAUUUGUAGAAUAGUUAAACGUUAACCCUAUAGAAAUAGUCUCUAGGUGAUUCUGAAUCAGAAAUAUUAAACACACCUAUAGGCAGAACUCUAGUAAGUAAAAUGAAAGUCAUAGAGCAUGAUAUCUACCCUUACUAGUGCAACAAAGUAAAACCCCUCCCACACCCUAUGCUAUAUUUCCCAAGUUCUUUAAAAUUUAUUACAAACUAGAAGAGAAAGAUAUAAAAUACAUCAAAGACUACAAUCACAUCUAAUGUGCCUAAGUUAGGCUAAAUGCCUAACAAUAUGUGAUUAACCAGUUCCGGAGUCCAGAUUUCCAAAGCCUUCUCUUUAUCCAAAGUGUUUCAAAGUUCCAAGGAAUCUCAAGGAUUCCUGGCAUUGCUUACACUCAAGAUAUCAUUUAGAAUUAGAAUAGUGCAGUGUGGAAGAGCUAGCCCUCAGACAUCCAAGUUUAGAGGGAGCUCAGGGGUCCCAAAGCAUGGCUUGCAAGAGAGGGGCAGAACUUACAGCUAAAAGUAAGUGCAAAGUGCAAAAGGAAAUGGGGAUCCAUAACAAGUGGUGUUCAUGCCCAGCCACAAGUGUAGGCUGGCACACCCCUGACCACUUGUUUGGUAAAAAAAGUCAGGAGC
rnacentral:lncRNA from 1 species